CGAAGGGGGCUAGCGUUGUUCGGAAUCACUGGGCGUAAAGCGCACGUAGGCGGACUUUCAAGUCAGGGGUGAAAUCCCGGGGCUCAACCUCGGAACUGCCUUUGAUACUGUUGGUCUCGAGUCCGAUAGAGGUGGGUGGAAUUCCUAGUGUAGAGGUGAAAUUCGUAGAUAUUAGGAAGAACACCGGUGGCGAAGGCGGCCCACUGGAUCGGUACUGACGCUGAGGUGCGAAAGCGUGGGGAGCAAACAGGA
rnacentral:rRNA from 1 species